UUUAACAGUCACACCUGUCCCUCUUCCCUCCUCCCGCUGUCUCCCUGGAGAUCCACUAUUGACUUGCAGCUGUCACUAGGUCUGUUAGCAGUCUCUGUCUCACAAACACUCUGCUGGAGCUGGAGAGGGGUCUGUUUGUCCCAGUGUAUCGCCUUUCACUUUUGGCACUUACCCUGCAGACUGCCCCCAUACAGGUGAGUAAACCUUCACACUACAACACUGAAAGGUCCUAUUCAUUGCUCUUCCUAGCCAGGUUAACCAUAUCGGUGCAAGGUACACUGUUCCCAAUUUCCUAACAUUAACCCUUCCAUUGCUGGUGAUCUUUAUAUCCCGCUGCUGUAGUGGUUAACUGUGGUACCCCAGAUGUUUGUGACAUACAUUUCCCAUGAUGCAUGAUUGCUAAAUUAGCCAACACUACACUAUUGGCAAUACAAGGGUUAAAGAGCAGCAUUUUCUGCUAGAGGAAAACAAAGGCACCUCUGUAGCUAUUGGCUAAAAUAUCAAUUCAAUUGUUUAAUUGGAAUUAAAGGAAUAAUCUGUAGGGUUGGAAGGUGUAAAUUCAUUAACCCCUUAGUGACCAUUGAGAUAUCAUGCCUUGCAUAAUAUAAUGGGAUUUGCCUAUCCCUUAUGAAGGUAAGUAUUUUUUUUUUUUUUUAGGAGCCAAGGCUCCAGUCGUGAAAGGGUUAAUGGCGUGAGCUUUGAAACAAAGAGCAGAGAACAAUGAUGCAAUCCUCCCCUAUUGUUGUCACAUACAGGGUUUAACCUGUUGAGUGCCAUGUAAGAAACGGAGACCUUCAGACAUGAGAAACUGGUGUAGUACCAAUAUUACGUAUCAUUUCCUGUAGUGGGCUGCUUAACCCACUAAUACUAUAAUCCUGUAAAAUCUCCUUCCCUGUGGAGCAGUUCUUUGUUCCAUUAAUUCGCCCCCUUUCUGUAAAAACCUAGCUUUCCCAAUUAAAUGGUGGAUCAACAAGGAGCAGCUAUCACAGAGCAAAGGGAGUAAGGCGAUGGUUUGAAAUAAGUAAAGAUUUGCAAUAAAUACCAUUUACAAGCAGGCAGCGUGUAGAAAUGGAGUUGAGUGGGCAACAUUCUAAAAGUGAUGCAAUCACCAUGGAAACUGAUGCAAUGUCCCUGCUGAUUGCUCCAGUUUUAGAAUGUUGCCUUCCUUUUAUACCAGCUAAACCUUCAUUGCAGCAUCACACUUACAGUGAGGUUUAUUUACAUUGGAAGGAUCACAUUUGCUAAAUUUAGUUUUAAAAUAAAACUGCGACUAUCUUCUCUUUCCAAGCUGGCGUUUUGGCCUAAUUUUUACAAUUUGAAUUUUAACUUCAUCACAAAUAACUAUUCAGUAAUAAUUUCCAAUGAUUACAACCAGGAUCCUGGUUAAAUAGACAUGGAUACUGAUUCACAUGCUUAUUCACUAAAAGGGACACUGUAGACACCCAGACCACUUCAGCUAAUUGAAGUGGUCUGGGUGCUGUGCCCCUUUUGCACUUAGUGCUGCAAUGUAAAACAUUUUGUUUUCCUGGCAUUAUAGGAUCCCUUAAAGUGAGAAUUCGAAGUGAAUUUAAUUUAAAAUUUAAGGCCAAAGUAAACAAAACAGAAAUAUGGCUGACAUAGAGAAUGUUUGCAGUUUGGCUACUUUUAUCUUGAAUGGGAAAUUGACUGUAGGGUAAUAAAGAUUUUCAGUACAAUGAACCAGUGUUUGAGCAGAUCAUUUUCAGGAUUAUAGAGUUUUUGGUUAAUACAGUGGAUUAAGCAACCCUCCAUAAAUUACAUGUAGCCUUGGUACUACAGCUGUUUUUUGAACUAUAUUUGCAUGAUACCCAGCUAGCUUUUCGCUUACAUACAUUUACAAUGUCAACACUAGUAGUCAUCUGGCUUUACAUGAUGCCUAGUGUGUGGAGGUGAUGACGCACAUGUACAGCCAACCUAACUCUCCUUACUACUGCUAUGCCAGUGGCAUAGCAGGAAAGUCCAAAAAGGUCAAAAUAAUUUGUACUGUCAAGGCUAUUUACAAAUGUGAAAAUUGUCAAGAAUUCAAAGUUCCCUCUCUUUUCUCUAUCUAUCUAUUCUCUAUUAUAUGUCUAUCUUUAAAUAAAAACUAUAUUUGCUUAAGAAUUCAAAGUCGUUUUAAACAUUUUUAGAUAACGUUAAAUUGAAACCAUGGCUGGCUUGUAGAAUGGUUACAAUUUAUUGAGAUCUUAAAUUUGAAGUUCACUGUACAAACACUUUGAAUUCUUGACAAUUCUCACGUUAGUAAAAAAAAAAUUCUCGCUGUUUGUCUGGAAUAGUAUAUAGAUGUAAUUUCAUACUAUUCCGUUAACACAGGUGUACUUUAAGUAGAGAUAUUAAGAAAUCAUGUUUAAUUUCAGUUGAAAGGCAGGUGCUAUCACAGAGUUAAGUAAAUUUAAAGCUUUUUUUAACACAUGUAGAAGCUCUGUCAUAUAAGCAACACAUACCCCGAGGAUAUCCACUUACCUGUAAUUAACUCUCCUCUACUUGCUGUGACCUGCCCAAUCUCCUGGGGCACCAGGUGGCACUUCUCAUUGCAGUAUCAAGAAACAGUGGCUCUGUGACAGUUACACCGCUUUACACAAUGUCAAACCACAUGACUAAAAUUGCCGAGGCUCGUAAAACAGUGGAACAGUUGAAGAUGGAGGUGAAUGUAAGCAGAACGAAGGUAAGAAUGAAUUAAAGCAAGCGGUCGAGAGGCUUACGUCAGUCUGAUGACCCUGAAAGAGUUAGACAAUUUAUUGCUGCUUAGUUGUUCUAAACCUGAAACUUCACCAUUUAACAAGGGAAUAGGUGCAUAUGGCAAAAGCAAAGAAGGAUAGCAAGAGAGGGGAGGACGGACAACAGCUCAAAUAGCCUGCCCUUCGGUGGGUCCCCGCUCAGAUCUCAAGCUGGUUUUAGCUCAAUUUGUGCCAUUACAAAGAGAACAUCUCUGAAGCAUAUCAGACUGGUCCCACCCAUACAGGCAGACCAGAUCCGAAAUGCCAGCACGUUCCCUCUGCACGAAAGAUACGGCAACCCCUGGCGAUCGUUUCAACCUUGUAAGGUAUCAUCAGUAAUCCAGACGUGGACCCCUCGCUUACGGUGCCUAGAGAGAUAUCAGCUAUGCCUCACAAGGCUGAAAUGAUUGUCUGGGGUUGCUGUGUCUCUUGUGCAGAGGGAACUUGCUGGCAUUUCGGAUCUGGACCGCCCGUAUGGGUGGGACCAGUCUGAUAUGCUUCAGAUAUGUUCUCUCUGUAAUGGCACAAGAUGAGCUAAAACCAGCUUGAGAUCUGAGUGGGGACCCACCGAAGGGCAGGCUAUUUCAGCUGCUGCCUGUUCUCAGUAUACUCUUGCGCCCUGUUUUUUUGCUCUCCAUAUGGGAAAAGCGCCUGAGAAAGUGAAUAAAAAGUUAAGACAACAGUUUUUAUAGAUAGCCCCAAUUGUGUUUCUGCAACUCUCCCAGAAUGCCAUGUAAACUAUGCAAAUAAGCAGACCACAUUGGCCAACCCAUGGGUUUGGGAAUCUUCAAAAUGUUAGUCUUAGUUAAAUCUCAAAGUAUAUAAAUAUCUGAUGCCAUGAAGUGAAGGUAAAUGUUUUGAAAGUUGUGAUGAGAUAAAUAAGUCUAAUCUGAUUUUAAUUAAAUUCUCAAAGUCAUCAGCAUGCUGGUGAGACCUAAACACUCAAUGCUGCGUUGUAUGUACCUGCUGCACAGAGGUAUAUUAGAGAACUUGUUUCAUCAUCACAAUCAUUGGAAUGUUUUGGGGGUUUUAUGUCACCAUACUAUGAUUAUUAUUUAAAGCAACAUGGGUAAAGUCAUAGGCGUGCGCACGUGGUGUGCCAGGUGUGCCUGGGCACACCUUAAUCCCUGCGGCACGCCUAUGGAGUGAGACCGGCAGGGGAAAUCUCAGGAUCUCCCCUGUCGGCUCAUGCAGAGCCAGCGCUAUCCGAGCGCCGGCUCUGCUCUCAGCCUCCCUCCCCGCUGCAGCAUGGAGGGAGGCAGGAGAGGACCCGGGGAGCUCAACCAGCAGCUCCGCCGGGUUCCUCUCGCAAGCAACGCCCAGAUCUCGAGAGAGUGAACUCUAGCCCCAAAGGGGCUAGAGUUCACUCUCCACUGGACCACCAGGGAAAGCAGCAGCACGAUCCACCCCUCCCUACAUAAGGUAAGAAGGGAGUGGGGAUAUUAAGUAAUGUGCACCCACCCACACAGCACCUACAUACACACAGCACACACAUGGAGCACCCACACGCACAGCACACACAGCACACAAACACACACACAGCACACUAACAGGACCCUAACAAACACACACACACAAAGCACACAAACAGCACCCUCACACACAGCACCCUUACACACACAACACCCUCAAACCACCCUCAUGCAGCACACACACACACACAGCAGUGUAUGUAUGUGUGUGUGUGUAUAUAUAUAUAUAUAUAUAUAUAUAUAAACACACAUACAUAUAUGCGCGGCGUGUGUUUGUGCUUUAGGGUGCACACCCUAAUGCAAUAGGCUGCGCACGCCUAUGGGUAAAGUAUAGUGUAUAGUAGUUUUGUUUUGUUUAUUAGAAUUUGUGUUCUUUUUACCAAUGUAACCUUGAACAUUAAUAGCAUAAAAGGGAAGUAAAAUAUAUUGUUAUAAAGUAUAUAUGAUGUACAUUUAUUGUGGUACAGUCAUCUGAAAAUGUCUUCCUACUAAUCAGUUUAAAACAAUUUUUAAAUGAAUUUUAAUCUUAGGCAGGUUAUAGUACAUUUAGCAGGCAGUCAUCUUGCCUUCAUAAAUGUAAGCCCUUAGUGACCGUUGCCAGUUACUGAUAAUAAAAAAAAAUAAAAACAAGCAAGGCCGUAGAGAUCAUGUGAUGACAGCAGCCAAUCAGAGUCUGUGAUUUGCAGAGUAGCUCCCAGUAUUCCAUUGUCCUGGGACACAUUGGCGUCCUCUCUGGUCCGGCCCAAACUAUCCAAUGUUUGGUUGAAAUGCUUUAAUAUUGUUGCGUAAAAUGUUCUUAACAUUUUGAAAAAUGAGCAACACAAAGUAUAUUUUCUAAAAUGCUAAAUGAUGGAACAUGGACUAUAUUUGAUAAUAAAGAAACAAACAAAAAAAAACACACAUGUUAAGGUUCUAAUGCUUUAAGAUCAUAUGAGUCAAGUUUUCCUCCUGUUGCUUCAGGGCUCUCACAAAAAAUGUACAUCGAAUAGAAUUUUAUAGUUUUUAAAAGACAGCAAAUUAUUCAUAAACCAUCUGUAUUUGCCAUAAGCUUACAGUUUUCUUUGAUGGGAGUUAUUGUCCAAAAAUUAGCUGGAUAAAACCUGGCCAAAAAUUGAGUCCGUUCCUUAUUCAUGAAAGCUGUACUUUAUCUUUUUUGUUUUGUUUGUUUUAAUCCUUCAUCACUGCCUAUGUCUUCCAGGUGUCUAUCGUGGUUUCCGAGAUCCUCUCAUUCUGUCAGUCUCACUCCCUGUCCGAUCCGUUGGUCUCUCCAGUUCCAGCACCUGAGAAUCCAUUCAGGGAGAAACGCCUGGUUUGUGUUGUCCUCUGAUCUGCUCAACCCAUGGCCUGCAGUCUUCAUCACCUACGACAGACAAUCUUCUUCUCUUAGCCUCCUGUAUUAUAUGUUCUUUGUAACCAACCGACCUUCCUAGAUGCCUCGUUACAUGACAUUUUGUAUGUUUGUCUUGCUUGUAUGUAUGUAGAGGUAGCGGCAGGAGACCUGUCCAAGUAUGGGACCUGUUACAUAUCCUUUGCAAAAAAAUAAAAAAAACUUUUUCUUUCCAGGAAACAUUGUAUGGACCAACCCCUUGGAAACUCCUAGCCAUUACUUUACCAACUGCAUUCAGUAUGGGGUCUGUUAAUAAAAGGUGUGCGUUGUGGCAUCUUGAGAAUUGGCUUGUGAAAUUUAGAUUAAAAUCUAUAACAGCAGAAUUGUGAAUUCUUUUAUUUUUUAUUUUUAACCCUACCAGUUUUCUAAAUUACACAAGUUGGUUUUAAAGUUAUCACAGCUCAUUGUUUAUUGACUAAACCCCUUUGAAAUCUCUCUUUGGCUUGGUGUCCGGUAGCUCUGAUUUCUAAGAAUUUUCCCCUGACAUCAUGGUGGCUUUACCUUUUUAACCCCUACGUUUCUUUUGCCCUACAUUGUAACUACCUUAUCAUGACAGCUGUUAUAAUAAAAUAGUUCAUUAGAGUGUAUCGUGAUCUGGUUUUGUUAAUUUAACUAAAACAUAAUAACUGACACUGGUUGAUGUCAGAGUAGGUGACCUACAGCCUUUUAUUGGAUAAGCAUAAUUGGAGUUGGAGUCCACAGCAGUGAUAAUUUUUAUAUCCUUGAAAGUUAGUUCACCUGUUUCUUGCAUGUAUUAACAUGCUCUUUCUGCUAGGUGGCGCUAUGUGUUCCUUGAAAUGUUAAGUCGUGUAGUUAUUGUAGACUGAAUUCAGACAGUAAUUUCCAUAUGAAACAGGUUAUGUAUAAUGUAUCAAUCGUGAGGCACAGUUCUGAAAGUGGAGCAGUCAUUAGGAUCGUUCCAUAGGUUUCCAUGGUGAUUGCAUCUGUUUUAGAAGUCCCUAGGGUUUUCAUUAUCCAUAACUCCCUUAGGACUUGUUUCAAUGGUUUUUGGUAAAAAGCAGCCGUUAUGUAUUCUAAAUAAAUACUAACAAGCAGAUGUUUGCUGAUAAAAAAAAUAAUAUCGACAGGUAUUAUCGACACUUGCAUUUCACGUCUGCAUGUUACGCAUGGCUGUCUCCACCGGUACCGACCACCACUUCUCAUUUACUAUUGUGCAAACUGGACUUACAGCAAGAAAAAGGUGAAUUUUCCAAUUCAUUCCCAAACACCGUAAACCGUUUGAGAGCUCAUCUGAGCCAGUUGCCCUCAGUGUCUCUAUGCACCUGAC
rnacentral:lncRNA from 1 species